rnacentral:rRNA from 1 species
AACGAACGCUGGCGGCAUGCCUAACACAUGCAAGUCGAACGAGCCCUUCGGGUCUAGUGGCGCACGGGUGCGUAACGCGUGGGAACCUGCCCUUAGGUUCGGAAUACCUCCCCGAAAGGGGUGCUAAUACCGGAUAAUGUCUUCGGACCAAAGAUUUAUCGCCUUUGGAUGGGCCCGCGUUGGAUUAGCUAGUUGGUAGGGUAAAAGCCUACCACGGCGACGAUCCAUAGCUGGUCUGAGAGGAUGAUCAGCCACACUGGGACUGAGACACGGCCCAGACUCCUACGGGAGGCAGCAGUGGGGAAUAGUGCACAAUGGGCGAAGGCCUGAUCCAGCAAGGCCGCGUGAGUUAUGAAAGCCUUAGGGUUGUAAAGCUCUUUUACCCGGGAUGAUAAUGACAGUACCGGGAGAAUAAGCUCCGGCUAACUCCGUG